UCCAGCUCUAAGUCAGCUGACCAGGCGUUGUUUGUGCCCGGCUCAGUGUUACAGUGCUGGUAGAAGAAGUCUCUGUGCCUGCUCUGAGCUGUGCAGGUUCUGUUUUAGAGUCUGCUGCUUCUGACCGGCUGCAGAGCUCGGCCCACUGAGAGUGGCCUGUCCUGAUCCAACAGCAGGAUGGGCCUAGUAUAGGGCCGCACAUU